GGUCAUCGUGACAGGCAUGCCUCACACCAAGACGGACUAUCAAGACCUGAGCCGACCUGACUUACAUAAAUGACAAACACUAGUGCUUUACAAAGGUGGCUGGAGUUCUCCAUCUUCUAAAAUCAACAUCCAAUCCCCUUCAGUCAGCAUCUUCAGUAUUCCCUUGAGGACUGGAAAACCAAAGCAGCUACGUCCAUCUGUAACGCACCCGCACCGGACAGGCACGAGAUGUCACGUCCACCUGGCACCAUCCAAAGAGGGUAAAUUGGAGAAAUCACACCUUUCAAAUGUUAAUCUGACACUGUAAACAGCAGUUGAGUUCUCAUUUACAUGGGCAAAGAAAGCACUUUAAACUAUUUUCACAACUUUCCUACGGAAGAAAAGGAAACGAUUCAGACGGUUAAUGGCUAAGUUUUAAACAAAUGCUCUGCAUCACUACUUGGUUAAGAAAUAAUACAAUUUUUGCCCUUGUGUCCCUUUUUCUUCUUGGAUUUUGUUGUCCUCUGACCAAACUGAGGGGUGGGAAGUGCAGAUGGUGGACUAGAAAGGUCAUCUGUAUAGUAGGCAAAUCUCUGUGGCCGGGGUUGAGGGAUUGGUUGUCCAAGAAAAUAUCCUUCUUCUUCCGAGUCGGAAGAGGAGGAGGAGGAAGAACACCAGGAAUCAUCAUCCUCGCCGUAGAGUCCCAGAAACCGAUUCAUUCCUGGGUUCUGCAGGCCAUAAUCGGAAGUGGCAUGGGCGUACUGUCCGUAGAGAUCAGCAUUCUGGAUGUAUGCUUGGAUCUCCCGGGCACUUUUAUUCUGUAUAAAUUUCUCAUAGUUAUCGGGGGUGUACAGCCGCAGUCUGUCCUUGGGAGAGUAUUUUCUUUCUGUAACAAGAUUCAGGGCAUUGUCGGAGCGGGACUUUCUACUUCUCCGGCGGCGGUGGUGAUGAGACCUGGAUCCCCUCUCUUCAAAAUUGUAGACGCGUCUCCGAGUCCUUUCACUCAUCGGAGGCUGCCGGAUUUCAAUGUCAUAGUUCCCAUUGUCAAUGACAUCAUCAGAAAACUUGACCUGCUGGGGUCUGGAUUGAGACUUGGACCUUCUGAGCACUGGCAGAUGUACUGGCUUCUCUUCAGGCAGGAUUUUCUCUGGACACAACUCUGAACUUAGACUCUUUAAGGACUCUGCACUCCUGUGCAGCAUGGAAGAGUUCAAAGUUCCCAUAUUGCUCAUCUUCUCACAAUCUUCUGUUUCCAUCUCCUCAAAAUUUUGCAGAGAAUACAAUGAUGGCCUUGGCUUGUUUUCUCCAUCCACCGAAGCCCCUAGAAGAGAGGCCAAAACAAGAUGUGCUUCUCAAUCAUCCUAAUAUUCGACAGUACUUAAAAAUAUCCAGUGCUCACUGGCUCGAAUAUCCAUCUCAUUGGGCUGUGGCUGAAAGAGGCUUUUAUCACCAAACUUGAGGAGGAGCUGCGUCAUAUAAUCUUCAUGAUCAGCCCAUUCUUCAGGGUCUUCUGGAGUUUCCUGCUCUACUCUGCCUUUCCAAAAUUCUUCACUGGCAAAACUUGUUCCUUGUCUGGAGAGACUCAGAUCAUCCAAUUUUCGAGAAAGGGUGUCAUCAGCAUUGCCUGAGAGGCCAGGAAACUUGUAGUUCAGAGCAGGCGAUAAGAGGAGAGACUGUCUACACUGAUCUGCUGACCGGCUGCUCUUGCCCAUUCGGACACUUCUUCGGGAGUCUCUUGAUCGAGCUGACUGAAAUGCAGAGUCGGAAGAAUCAGAGGCAUGGACGUCUUCACCAAGACUGCACGUUUUUGAGCAGUAAAUCUGACCCUGUUUGGGAAGGAAGGGACAUCCCAACAAAGAGGCUUUACACUGGGCACAAGAAAAGCAGGCUUCCGUGGCGUGCCAGUGCUGCCCGUCAUAGGUCAUCUGUGCAUGGUCCACACCUGUUUUGAAAAGGAUAGAAUAAAUAACAGGUUAUGGUUUAAUGCCUGAAACAAGGUAUAAGGAAGAAACGAAGAAAAUAAAUAAAGAUUAUGGGUAUGGGGGAGCUGUGUGGGUGACACAGAUAUAAUUAAUCCUCAUUCUUUGUGGAUUCUGUAUUUGUGAGUGUGCCUACUCAUAAAAAUUUAUUCACAACUCCCAAACUAAUAUUCGCAACAGUUUCAUGGUCAUUCGCAGAUGUGCAGAGUGGUAAAAAUACGAACUGAACCAACAUGCACUGAUCCAGGAGAUGCUCAGCUUUUUGUUUCAGCUCUCAUACUGUAGACAAGUGUCCUAUUUCUGGUCUAUCUACUGCCGCGUUUUCUGCAUUUUUGUGCUCUUUGUUGGUGAGUUUACUGUUUAAAAUGGCCCCCAAGUGUAAUGCUGAUAAUGCUGAAAUGCUGUCAUGUUGCUAAGGGCAAGAAGGCUGUGAUGUGCCUUACAGAGAAAAGACAUGUAUUACGUAAGCUCCUAAUCUUGAGUACGGUACCACUGGCUGUGAGUUCAAUAUUAAUGCAUCAACAAUGUACAUUCAAUAAGGCAGUGGCUUUAAGCAAAAACACACGUGAAACAAGGUUAUGUAUUGAUGGGUUGAUGAAACUGCUGUGACCAGAGGCUCACAGGAACCUAACCCUGUAUUCCCCCAUGAGCAAUGGUUCAGUGUUCACUAAUCCAGUGUUUGCAGUAACGUCACAGAACACAACUACUGCAAGUAACAAGAAUCAACUCUCUGUUCAUUUGUCAAAGCUCAUCAGCUGGAACAUUUAAGAUCUGUACAUUUCAUUGUAUGUAAAUUAUAUCUCAACUUUAAAAAACAGAAAAAGAAAAAAUAA
ensembl:lncRNA novel transcript, antisense to PRICKLE1